UUAACCAAAACCAAAAAGAGGUAUAUUAUUGUUAAUAAUAAAAUUGAAAUGAAUAUUUCUGGUUAAG
rnacentral:tRNA from 1 species